rnacentral:rRNA from 1 species
AUUGAACGCUGGCGGCAUGCCUUACACAUGCAAGUCGAACGGUAACGCGGGGCAACCCUGGUGGCGAGUGGCGAACGGGUGAGUAAUGCAUCGGAACGUGCCCAGUAGUGGGGGAUAACCAGUCGAAAGGCUGGCUAAUACCGCAUACGACCUACGGGUGAAAGCGGGGGACCGUAAGGCCUCGCGCUAUUGGAGCGGCCGAUGUCUGAUUAGCUAGUUGGCGGGGUAAGAGCCCACCAAGGCGACGAUCAGUAGCUGGUCUGAGAGGACGACCAGCAACACUGGGACUGAGACACGGCCCAGACUCCUACGGGGGGCAGCAGUGGGGAAGUUUGGACAAUGGGGGCAAGCCUGAUCCAUCCAUGCCGCGUGCGGGAAGAAGGCCUUCGGGUUGUAAACCGCUUUUGGCAGGAACGAAACGGCGCAAGCCAAUACCUUGCGCUAAUGACGGUACCUGCAGAAUAAGCACCGGCUAACUACGUGCCAGCCGCCGCCGUAA